rnacentral:rRNA from 1 species
GACGAACCGAGCGAACGUUGUUCGGAAUCACUGGGCUUAAAGGGCGCGUAGGCGGGCUGUCAAGUCUGGGGUGAAAUCCCACGGCUCAACCGUGGAACUGCCUUAGAUACUGACGGCCUCGAGGGAGAUAGGGGCGAGCGGAACUGUGAGUGGAGCGGUGAAAUGCGUUGAUAUUCACAGGAACUCCGGUGGCGAAGGCGGCUCGCUGGAUCUUUUCCGACGCUGAGACACGAAAGCCAGGGGAGCAAACGGG